rnacentral:rRNA from 1 species
AAGUCGUAACAAGGUUUCCGUAGGUGAACCUGCGGAAGGAUCAUUAUCAUACAAUGGAGGUGCUGGGGUUGUCGCUGACUUUUGAAAAGGUCGUGCACACCUUGGUGCUCUCACACAUAAUCCAUCUCACCCCUCUUGUGCAUCACCGCGUGGGGACCCCUUUUGGCUAGUUCUGAGGGGGGUCUUCACGUUUUUACAUAGACACCCUUUUAAUGAAAUGUGUAGAAUGUCUUACUUUUGCGAUCACACGCAAUCAAUACAACUUUCAACAACGGAUCUCUUGGCUCUCGCAUCGAUGAAGAACGCAGCGAAAUGCGAUACGUAAUGUGAAUUGCAGAAUUCAGUGAAUCAUCGAAUCUUUGAACGCACCUUGCGCCCUUUGGUAUUCCGAGGGGCACACCCGUUUGAGUGUCGUGACAUUCUCAAAACCUUCUUGGUUUCUUGACCGGGAAGGCUUUGGACUUUGGAGGCUUUUGCUGGCCUUUCUUUGUUGAAGCCAGCUCCUCUGAAAUGAAUUAGUGGGGUCUGCUUUGCUGAUCCUUGACGUGAUAAGAUAUUUUCUACGUCUUGGGUUUCGCACCGUUCCUGCUUCUAACCGUCUCAUAGAAGACAAUGGUCAAGUGAUUGCCACUUGACCCACAAACCUUGACCUCAAAUCGGGUGAGACUACCCGCUGAACUUAAGCAUAUCAAUAAGCGGAGGAAAAGAAACUAACAAGGAUUCCCCUAGUAACUGCGAGUGAAGCGGGAAAAGCUCAAAUUUAAAAUCUGGUGGUCUUUGGCCAUCCGAGUUGUAAUUUAGAGAAGCGUCUUCCGCG